rnacentral:rRNA from 1 species
GCUCUUCUUGGAUGAGUUGCGAACGGGUGAGUAACGCGUAGGUAACCUGCCUGGUAGCGGGGGAUAACUAUUGGAAACGAUAGCUAAUACCGCAUAACAACAGUUGUUGCAUGACAGCUGUUUAAAAGAUGCAAUUGCAUCACUACCAGAUGGACCUGCGUUGUAUUAGCUAGUUGGUGAGGUAACGGCUCACCAAGGCGACGAUACAUAGCCGACCUGAGAGGGUGAUCGGCCACACUGGGACUGAGACACGGCCCAGACUCCUACGGGAGGCAGCAGUAGGGAAUCUUCGGCAAUGGGGGGAACCCUGACCGAGCAACGCCGCGUGAGUGAAGAAGGUUUUCGGAUCGUAAAGCUCUGUUGUAAGAGAAGAACGGGUGUGAGAGUGGAAAGUUCACACUGUGACGGUAUCUUACCAGAAAGGGACGGCUAACUACGUGCCAGCAGCCGCGGUAAUACGUAGGUCCCGAGCGUUGUCCGGAUUUAUUGGGCGUAAAGCGAGCGCAGGCGGUUAGAUAAGUCUGAAGUUAAAGGCUGUGGCUUAACCAUAGUAUGCUUUGGAAACUGUUUAACUUGAGUGCAGAAGGGGAGAGUGGAAUUCCAUGUGUAGCGGUGAAAUGCGUAGAUAUAUGGAGGAACACCGGUGGCGAAAGCGGCUCUCUGGUCUGUAACUGACGCU